GACGAACGCUGGCGGCGUGCUUAACACAUGCAAGUCGAACGGAAAGGCCCUGCUUUUGUGGGGUGCUCGAAUGGCGAACGGGUGUGUAACACGUGAGUAACCUGCCCUUGACUUUGGGAUAAAUUCAGGAAACUGGGGCUAAUACCGGAUAGGAGCUCCUGCUGCAUGGUGGGGGUUGGAAAGUUUCGGCGGUUGGGGAUGGACUGGAGGCUUACUAGCUUGUUGGUGGGGUAGUGGCUUACCAAGGCUUGGAGGGGUAGCCGGCCUGGGAGGGUGACCAGCCACGUUGGGACUAGGAUACGUCCCAGAAUCCUCCGGGGGAGAGCGGUGGUGAAUAUUGCACAGUGGGCGGAAGCCUGAUGCAGCAACGCCGCGUGCGGGAUAGCUGCUUUCGGGUGGUAGUCCGCUUUCGCCUGUGACGAAGCGUGAGUGACGGUAAUGGGUAAAGAAGCACCGGCUAACUACGUG
rnacentral:rRNA from 1 species